rnacentral:rRNA from 1 species
UGGGAACGCGAGCGGCGGAUGGGUGAGUAACACGUGGGGAACCUGCCCCAUAGUCUGGGAUACCACUUGGAAACAGGUGCUAAUACCGGAUAAGAAAGCAGAUCGCAUGAUCAGCUUAUAAAAGGCGGCGUAAGCUGUCGCUAUGGGAUGGCCCCGCGGUGCAUUAGCUAGUUGGUAGGGUAACGGCCUACCAAGGCAAUGAUGCAUAGCCGAGUUGAGAGACUGAUCGGCCACAUUGGGACUGAGACACGGCCCAAACUCCUACGGGAGGCAGCAGUAGGGAAUCUUCCACAAUGGACGAAAGUCUGAUGGAGCAACGCCGCGUGAGUGAAGAAGGUUUUCGGAUCGUAAAGCUCUGUUGUUGGUGAAGAAGGAUAGAGGUAGUAACUGGCCUUUAUUUGACGGUAAUCAACCAGAAAGUCACGGCUAACUACGUGCCAGCAGCCGCGGUAAUACGUAGGUGGCAAGCGUUGUCCGGAUUUAUUGGGCGUAAAGCGAGCGCAGGCGGAAGAAUAAGUCUGAUGUGAAAGCCCUCGGCUUAACCGAGGAACUGCAUCGGAAACUGUUUUUCUUGAGUGCAGAAGAGGAGAGUGGAACUCCAUGUGUAGCGGUGGAAUGCGUAGAUAUAUGGAAGAACACCAGUGGCGAAGGCGGCUCUCUGGUCUGCAACUGACGCUGAGGCUCGAAAGCAUGGGUAGCGAACAGGAUUAGAUACCCUGGUAGUCCAUGCCGUAAACGAUGAGUGCUAAGUGUUGGGAGGUUUCCGCCUCUCAGUGCUGCAGCUAACGCAUUAAGCACUCCGCCUGGGGAGUACGACCGCAAGGUUGAAACUCAAAGGAAUUGACGGGGGCCCGCACAAGCGGUGGAGCAUGUGGUUUAAUUCGAAGCAACGCGAAGAACCUUACCAGGUCUUGACAUCUAGUGCAAUCCGUAGAGAUACGGAGUUCCCUUCGGGGACACUAAGACAGGUGGUGCAUGGCUGUCGUCAGCUCGUGUCGUGAGAUGUUGGGUUAAGUCCCGCAACGAGCGCAACCCUUGUCAUUAGUUGCCAGCAUUAAGUUGGGCACUCUAAUGAGACUGCCGGUGACAAACCGGAGGAAGGUGGGGAUGACGUCAAGUCAUCAUGCCCCUUAUGACCUGGGCUACACACGUGCUACAAUGGACAGUACAACGAGGAGCAAGCCU